AAUUUUGCGCAAUGGGGGAAACCCUGACGCAGCAACGCCGCGUGUGUGAUGAAGCUUUUCGGAGUGUAAAACACUGUCAGUGGGGACGAAACUUGACGGUACCCACAGAGGAAGCACCGGCUAACUCCGUGCCAGCAGCCGCGGUAAUACGGAGGGUGCAAGCGUUGUCCGGAAUCAUUGGGCGUAAAGCGUUCGUAGGCGGCACAUUAAGUCUGGCGUUAAAGCCCGAGGCUCAACCUCGGUUCGGCGCUGGAUACUGGUGAGCUAGAAUGGAGCAGAGGUAAGGGGAAUUCCUGGUGUAGCGGUGAAAUGCGUAGAUAUCAGGAGGAACAUCGGCGGCGAAAGCGCCUUGCUGGACUCUAAUUGACGCUGAGGAACGAAAGCCGGGGGAGCAAAUGGG
rnacentral:rRNA from 1 species